AACGAGCGCUGGCGGCAGGCCUAACACAUGCAAGUCGAGCGCGUAGUAAUACGAGCGGCGCACGGGAUAGUAACGCGUGGGAACCUACCUUUCGGUUCGGAAUAACAUCGGGAAACUGGUGCUAAUACCGGAUACGCCCUUCGGGGGAAAGAUUUAUUGCCGAUAGAUGGGCCCGCGUUGGAUUAGCUAGUUGGUGAGGUAACGGCUCACCAAGGCAACGAUCCAUAGCUGGUCUGAGAGGAUGAUCAGCAUCACUGGGACUGAGACACGGCCCAGACUCCUACGGGAGGCAGCAGUGGGGAAUAUUGGACAAUGGGGGCAACCCCGAUCCAGCCAUGCCGCGUGAAUGAUGACGGCCUUCGGGUUGUAAACUCCUUUUUUAUGGGAAGAUUAUGACGGUACCGUAAGAAUAAGAGCCUGCUAACUACGUGCCAGCCGCCGCAGUAA
rnacentral:rRNA from 1 species